GAUCGGUAAAUACUAGUAGUAGUAAUGAAACUGGCGGUUAACCACCAAAAAACUGAGAGAAUCACCACAGACAGAGAGAUGGAGAUGGAGGUGGAACAUCAAGUAAAGAAAAUCUUGGAUGAAAUAAACAAAUGAUCAUCGCCACCAGUGACGAAAGUUACAAAUAACAAAAUGGAAUGAAUAAUCACAACGUAUGUAGUAGUGUUGCCCUCAUCCAUAUAUCCCUGAUCAGCACCCCAUUCCAAAACCAUCAAUUACCAACAAAUUGUACUUACAUACUUUAUAGCAGGCAGACAGUAGUAGUUGCAGCAGCAAAUGAAUCGAAAACUUCCGAUGGCAAACCAGAGAAAAAUAUCUUUCAUUCAGCUUGGAGUGGAGGAGGUGGGGUGACGGCGGCGGAUGGAUGGCUUUCUUGAUUUUGGGAGGAAUGGAGCAAUACAAUAGGCAAAUGCAAAAUGCAGCAGCUUAGUUUAGUUUCCAUAUACUGAACUCGUACUACUUACUAGUACUGGGUGGUUGUAAGUGGGACCCGGUCGAAAUUCUUGGAGGAGGAACCGUAACGGAUGGUUUGAGGAAGCCCCGCGUUGUCGGAAGAACCUACGAGCUUUCCCAGUUCAGACUUGACCUUGUAGAAGAUGUGCCUCCAGCUGCCCUUGCUCUGCCGACCCAGGCAGCACUUUCUGCCUCGUUCAUCUCCAGAUCUUUUGCGAAGGUGGCUUCCUGGACAAGAUCCACCCCAUCCCCACUCCCCAUUUCCUUAUUAUGGAAUCCCUCCUCCUCCUCCAUACUGAUGAUGAUCUGCUGUGCCCAUGGAGGACGUAGAUUUGGAUCGGCGAAAUGCCCCGGCCCAUGAUGACGACCAGCGAUGAGAAGAGGAGAGGAGGAGGAGAUCAUCAUCAUCAUGGCGGACGACGACGGUUGUAGCUGCAUCUGCAUCUUGAGGGACAGGGAGGAGAGUCUCUUGCGAAUGCCGCCUCCGCCACUCAAUGGCCCACUUUCACUUUGUACUUCAUUAUUACUGCUGCUACUAUUGCGGUUGUGCUUGGUAUAUUUUAACGACGUUGGAGUCUGCGGGGCGGUGUGACAGAGGAAGGCCCUGCUGCCGCUGCUUGUUCUGUUGAAAGCUUUGAAAUAGAGAUCCCAUCUUGAUUCCCUCCUUAGCUACUCCAAACCUUAAGCUUUAGCUGCUGCUGUUGCCACCGACCAAAACUAAGAUCUGGGUUUCGGCCCGGAAAAAACCUGGACAACUAUAGCUACGCCACAGCAAAAUCGAGUCUAUUCUUGAAACACAACAAAUAAUACAACACAGAGAGAGAGAGCACAAGUACACAACACAACACGACUCAAAAACAAGAGGAUCGAUCGAUCGAUCGAUAAACAAAAAGGGCGGUGAGCUGUAGCAGUCACAGCGGUCAUCCAGCCU
rnacentral:lncRNA from 1 species